rnacentral:lncRNA from 1 species
CGCCUGUUGACAGGCACCCUCCUGCUGGGGUCCUCCGACCUCUGACUUGCCGAGUGACACCGUGACCCGAGAUGCACCCUUCGCCCUUGUCUUCAGGACACAACCAGAGAUGGAAUCCACAGGACACAGAACAAAAGGUGUACCAGAGCCAGGCUGGCAGUGACACUCGACAGGCCAGCCCAGCAGGUAGCCCUGCAGCUCCUGCAGGUCAAUCUCGGCCAGUGCAGGCCCAGUCACCACAAACAUGCGGAGCAUGUUGUAGAUACGAUCCAGUGAGAGGCUCUCCAGGUUGGUCAGCA